rnacentral:lncRNA from 1 species
GAGACGAUUGCUCCUAACAUGUUCAUUCCAUGAUUCAGAAACACACAACACAACAAAGAUACAGAUAACAUAUAUAUUCAGCCAAAAAUAAAUAAAUAUAUAUUAAUAUAUAUAUAUUCAGCCAAUUUUUUUUUUUUUGCUAAAGAGUAAAUAUCAUUAAAAGAUAAUGAAAAUCUGGUUACAAGUUAUAGAACAUUGAAACCAAUAGAUGCUUUUCAGCUUAUCAGGUUUAUAGAACCGCAAAAAGUUUUAAAAAACCCCAUAGAACCUACAAAGAUUAACACCAAGCAACCCAAACAAUGGCUUACUUAAGUUAAUAUUACAUUGAAGUACAAAUACAGCAUUUUGAACUCCCAUACCAAAGCGCUUCCUGUUCUACUGGUUUGAACCACAGAGCAAGAGAAUAACCUGAAGACGAGUUCGAUCGAGCCUCACCGAAGUGGCUCCUAGCAGGUAGAGCUGGGUUGCGGGUCAAACCCGCCCCGCUGACCCGCCAACCCGCGGAUAAACUGAUUUUUUUUACUCAAAAAAUUUGACCCGCUUGACCCGCAAGAAGAAAAUAUGAAAUCCGCACCCGCUCCGCUAAAACCCGCGGGUGAUCCGCUAGACCCGCGGAUAAUAUUAAUAAUAUUAAAAUUAUUAAUUUAAAUAUUUUUUAUUAAAAUAACAAUAAAAUUUAAUAUUUUAAAUAUUUUUUAUUAAAAAUAACAAUAAAAUUUAAUAUUUUAAAUAUUUUUUUAUUAAAAAUAAUAAAUAUUAAUCUAUUUAUAAUUAAAAUUAAAUUAUUUUUUAAAAAUUUUCUAUUUAAAAAUAAUAUUUAAAAAAAAAAUCUUUUUUUUUUAGUUUUUGCGGGUUGGCGGAUACCCGCGCUGAAUUUUGGCUGACCCGCACCCGCCCCGCAUAAAAAUCACUCAACCCGCACCCGCAUCCGCGAACCAAAAUUUUCAAAUCACUCGACCCGCACCCGCCCCGCAGCGGGUCAAAUGGGGCGGGGCCCGCGGAUAAUGAUUCAUAUUCCCAGCACUACUAGCAGGCAUCGACGGAAGUGCCUGGCUCACGCCCCGGAGCUCCGCUGGAGGAGGACGUCGACAAACAAGCCCAAGUUAACACAAAGGAUGACGAUAGUGUAAACCGGCUGCUACACCACUGAAGAUGAAGAUCGCGGUCAAGCGCAAUCGGUCGUUUUGGCCCCUUAUUCUGCUGCGCGACACAGAAGAUGCGGCGGAGACAGCAGAGUUACAUAUCUACAUAUCGCUGUCUUUAUGACCGUUAUCAAGGAAAUAAAAUAUAUGUGCAUAAUUUGCUUAUGAUUUACAAGUUAGUUGUCUACUUGGUAACAGCUUCUUCGAGCUCUCUUAAGCCACCAACUUUCUGUUCAAUUUCUUCGAUGAGUUCUUCACGCCAUAACUCUGCUCUUGCUUUCUCUUCUAUGUCUUCUUGCUGCAUCAGACAUCCAAGCAGAAACAUAAUAACAACUCUAUCCAAUCUAUAAUAAUUGUAUGUUACUAAAGCGUGAUGUACUAAGUCUAUGGCCCGACCCAGCCUAGACCAAACCGGCCAAAACUAAAUAUAUUUUGUUUUAGAUUCUCCACCGCCUAUCUAUAUGGGAUCAGUGUUACACGAGAACUACAUUUAACCUGUUAAGCCUUGAUUUCACGUUACCAGGAAUCAAAAUUUAUAUAAUUAAGAAAUUCAACUUUUAUCAAAUGUUUUGUUAAGUUAUAUAAGCAUAAAUGUAAACGCAAAUAAACAAACGUAAAUGGUUAAGACUGUGACACCUAAAGGCAAACCUAGACCCAUCUACAUACUUUGCUUUCUUCAUCUUAGGCUAACCACUUAGACAUAUAGAGUGGUCAAACCGGUCUACAGGGUGACACUCUAUAAAGACUAGUGUGGGAUAGGCCAUGACAACAUCCCAAACAAUAAUUUCUAAGUUUCUAAUAUUAGAAAGAUAGAUACGUACAGUUUCAUAGACCCAAUAUCCGGUUCCAUCACCAGAUUCACCACGGUACUCCUCCGAGUCAUAGAAUGGAUCCUAUACAUGCACCAUUAUUCAUAAAUACAUUAAAGAAAAAGUAGUUAAGAUGCCAAAUGCAGCAAAUGGAGAUCAAAAGAUUUGAUUUGACUCGAGUUUUUUUUUCCUUACUUUUGCGGAACCAAAGUACAGACAUCCCCAACAACUGAACAUGAUGUAGAACAAAUCUGCCUGCAAGAUCAAGACCAAUGUCUCUAAAUAUCCACAAACCAAACUAAAGGAAAAAGACCUUAAUCUUGUCUUAAUGAACACCAAAAAGUUUGCUACUUAUAGACAUUCUUGAUGGCUUUAUCACUUAGAUGCCACACGUGUUUCUCUGUAAUGAUUUCACGCAUCCCUUCAAUUUGUUGAACCAUCACAGCAUUUGGUCUUUCAAAUGUCCAUGAAUAUUUAAUAUAAUCUGGCACCUAAAGCUGGGGCUUACUCAGGUUUAAGUUAAGGCCGGAUCUAAUUAUUGAUAAAUUUCUAACUUUGAAUUUUUUAAUCUCAAAAAUAGUAGAAGCCUUUUGGUCCAAUGGUCAAGAAUUUAAAAGCUUCUACAACAAAUUUGGGUUUCGAUUCUCGGAAAUGCAGUGUUUAGUAUGAUUAAUGUUCAUUGUGGUUUGGUGUCUUGAGAAGAGUUUGUCCAUCAUGGAGAAUGUCAUACAUAUAACCAGAAUCAUUCAUCGUGGAUCCAAAUGUUGUGGAGACAACUCCAUCAUAGAACUGUUGUUUUCAAAACUGUUCACUGUAAUCACAUAUCCCAUAGGUAGUUAAAGAUCAUAAUUACUUGCAGUGUUUACUAGUAUUAACUAUGUGUUUUCCUCCGCUAUAUGCAGAAAUAAUUUUUUUUUAAAUUUAAAUUAAAUUUAAAAGUAAAAUUUAAGAAAUUUAGUAGCUUAGAAUAUUGAUUAAUCUUGUCUUUACAUUGAGUAAUAUAUUAAAUUUAAUUUUAAAUAUUCUAAAUGUAUACAAAUAAUAUUGUUAUUAAAAUUUAUUAAAAUAAAUAUAAAUAUUUAUCAAUGUUUAUAUUUUAUAUAAUGAUUUUCGAUUAUUACAGUAUUUUAAAAACUUGUCAAAUUAUCUAAAUGAAUUAUCCAUGUUACUAUAAUCUUAAUAUCAUAUAAUAAUUUUAGAGUAAUUGCAGUGCAUAUACAAAGAAAACUUGCAUAUUUGCGGUGAUGGAAUUCAGACUUUUUGAGUGACGUGUUUUUUUUAAUGGCAAUAGAACCCCUAUCAUCUAAUACGCCAACCUAAUGUGUAAUACAUUUUUGAAUCCUAUAUCUAAUUAUUACGCGUGAAUAGAGCAGGGCCGUCUCAAAUUAAUUUUAAACCGUGUUCAAAAAAAUAUUAACCGUACAUUUUAUCAAGUAAUUUUAAAAUUUAAUAACUUUGUCUGAUUUUUUGAAUUAUAAACUUUAAAUUUAACAUUAUAUCUAAAAUUUUAAAGUUUAUUACCAUAAUUUAUCUAUAUAUUUUGAAAAAUUCUUAAACUUUUUAUUUUUAUAUUUCGGGGCAUUAUUCAACCGCUCCACUUUCGCGUGCUGUUAGACGGCCCGAUAGAGAGACUACGUUCAUCGCUUCAAUCGAUACACUAUUAUUUCGAAAAUAUCUAUCUAAACUCUCUAAAUCCCUUUGAUUUCUCCGUAGAUACGAUCCGCCUUCUCUCACAAUAUCUCUGUUUUAUCCGUCAGAACCCUUGCUAAAAAGUAUCCCCAAUCCAUCUCUAUCUCUUUGAUUUCUCCGACGGAACCCUUGCUCCGGAACAGUCACCCGUCUGUGGAAUAUGAGACCAACUCUCUCUCGGAACAUAUGCAAACACACAUAGAGGCUGGAAAGAUUUUCAUAGAACCAUUAAAGACGAUUCAGUUUUGGAAAGUGAUAGCUAAGUAGUGUGGAUUUUAUUCACCCACUUAUCACCUCUUACAUAGAACAGAACAUAUACAAACACAUAUCAAAUAGCAUGUAUAUCUAUAUUUUCCGUGUCAUUAUAUUGAAAAGUUUUCGUUUCUUCAUGCGAUAUAACUGGUCAGAAGUUUUGGCUACUCUUAGAAGCACGAGCUACACAUAUAUAAUCAUUACACAAACCUUUCCGCUUCGUACUUUGAAAAAGAGAGAAUAGUGCCAGCUCGAUCUUUUCGCGUCGGCAAAAAGUGGGCUUCACGGUUGGGCCUUCGAUUUUUCCAUCCAUGCAAAUAUCUCUAUCCUCUUCUAUUUUCCAUGCAAAUGACUCAUAAUUUUAACUGAUUAUUUUAAAAAGAAUAUGGCAAUGACCCUUUAAAAUGUAAUUUAUUCUUUGUAAUAUAUUUAUGUCAAUAUAGAUUAAUUUUUAGAAAUGUAAAGUACAUAUAAUUAUGCAGAAACGUUUAUUUGCAAAAUUCAAAACAUUAUAAAUGCUAAAAUAUAGAGCACUUGUUUUAUUUACAGUAUAUAGAACAAUUUAAUUAUAAUAUAUAAAUUUAAGAAUGAAAUCAAUACUAUUAAAACUAAAGGGCCUUUUUUGAAGCCCCCUUGGAGUUUUGAAGUAUUUACAGAUCUUUGCCACUUGAUUAUUUAAACCUAUGCUUUUAAUUAAAUAUUUAGAAUCUUUUUUCUUUUAGUUUAAUUAAUUUAUCAUGACUAAGUAAUUUUUUUUACUCUGUGUUGCUAGAAAGAAAAAAAUAAACCUAAAACAGCGGAAAGGCGAUAGGAAUAGCGAUUUUGAAAUUCUGAAGAUGAGAGUCGAACUUAGCCUAGAUCUGAUUAUUGUGUCGGUUCCUAUGGCUCAUUAUCAUAUGUUUUGUCCUCCGGUCAUUCUGAUUAUGAAGAAGAUGGUGAAAAUGUUUAAUUUGGGUUUCACGAGAUGUGGUAUAAUGGAAAAAUGAGUUACGAUUGAGGAUAUAUCUAUGGGAUUGCCAGGAUCUCAUUAGAGAUUUUCGGAAAGGAGUCAAGGAAGAUAGAGGAGUUUAUCGAUCAAUUCUUUGAAAAUAUGGACAUUUUAAUUGUGAAAUCAAAAAAAAAAAUUGUAAGAUCACAGUUUUCAAAAACUAAGGAAGGAAGAUUCAUAGUUCACUAAAUGCUACACGUUUUAUUGCUAGGAAUCAUAAGGGUUGGGUUUCUUUAACAGGAAAUCAAAGAUCUAUGAUCUGGCUACUUUUGGGAAAGAAUGAUUGAGAUGUAUCAUGAUCGUACUCUGGUUAUACACAAAUGGUGAUGAUUUUGGGUUCUCUAAACAAAUCAUACGAGGUGAUGAUUCUGGGUUCUCUAAAGGAAUGGCGUUUUAAUGAUUCAAUAUGAUUAUUGGUUCUCUAAAGGAAUCAUAUGAGGUCAGUUAUGGUUAUGGAUUUUUAUUUUUGAACGGAACAUAUAUAUGUAUUGUAGUUGCUGGUAAAAAUAUAGUUAUGGGGUGGGUGAUGUAUAGGGAUUCUCGGUAUGGAAGUUAUUGGAGUUGUCGCUUUAAGGUCUGCUCUAGCUUAUGGUCUUGUGGCCUUUACUUAUCAAACAAUGCAGAAUGGAGUUGGUCUUUUUGAGUUCUCAUAUAUGGUAUCUUAUGAAUGGGGUUAUAAAGCUUUUGGUUUCAUUCAUUCGGUCAAGUGAAAUACAUUUUAAGAAGGUGCUUAAGCCAAAAGCAUCACAUGAAUGAAGGAGUUAAGUGAGCUGGGAAAUGAACCAGUUGUUCCUUGGUCUGUAAUUUUAAAAUUUCGAAUAAAAUUGGUAGAUGGUGGUUGCAGAGUACUAUGAUUACUUUUUUCAUUGGAUUUACGUAGCUUUUUAAUAGUGAGAUUAUGCACUUUGACUCUGUUGUAAUACCAGUUCGUUAUGAGAUUUAGCCAUAUAUUAUCAAUGACACUAUGCCAAGAGAUUUUAUUGUAGUAACCAAUAUUUAACUGUAUAUUCAAAACAAUCAAUUUUAGAAAUAUUAACAUAAUAAUUAAAAAUUAGUAAGAUUCCUAAUUAACCAUAAAAUAUUCCUAAUAUAUAGGAAGAUAUAUAUCGCUAUUGUUUUGGUAUAUGAUUAGAUUUUGAAAAAAAAUAUGUUCAUAUUCCCCAAACAAAGAUAAAUCCUAUGAGCACUCUUAAUUUUUUUUAAAAGAUACUAUCAGUUUUAGAAAUCAACCAAAUUUUUUAAUUUUAUCAAAUGUAACAAUAUGAAAUUUUACGAUGUUGAAAAUUCAUGCAUCACACAUUUUAGAAUAUUACAUUUAAAUAUAAACCGUUUUAUAUUUAUUUAUAUCUAUAAUGAUUACUUUAUCAAUACAUAUUUCCAAAAAGAAAAUACUUUUAUCAUUUGUGAUUAACAAACAUGCAGAAACUAUUAACUAAUCUUAAUAUCGCUAAUAUUAGUCCAGAAACAGAUUACUAAUUAACCCACAUUUCAGAUUUGCUAUUAUACCAAUAUAAAUAUAAAAUAUAUAUAGAAAAUAAAUUAUGAAAAUUAAUUAUACUUUUUAAAAUAGUUUAAAUACUUUCAAUAUUUCUCUACAAUUCCAGAAAAUAUAAUUAACGACUUUAUGAGUAGAUUAAAAACCAAAAUAUUGUUAUAAAUGAAAUUAACAAUUAAUAAAAAUUCAUAUAUUUAUUUAACCAAAUAAAUCCAAUUGAAUAUCCAUAUAAUCCAAAAAUAAACAACUAACCAACAACUUUGAUAUUCUAUUUCGAUGUAGUAUACUAUAUGAAAAACCCAUAGAGAUUGGUAAUAUUUUUUUAUAAAUAAUAUUUAGUACCUGACAAAACAUUAAACAUGUGGAAGCCCAUUUGGUCCAGUAAUUUGAUUAAGUGUUCAUUAAUGAUUCUACACCCGCAGGUCUGGGGUUUAAACCCCAGAAAAUACCAAAUUAUGCAGAUUAUGGAGAAAUAUGUUACAAGAGAUCUUCAGUUUGGUGCAUGUCGUACCAUCGAACAUGAAUCUCAUAGGACGGCUUGGAGUGAUGCAGUCAGGCGUGUAUUCUCACAAAGUGAUAGAAUUGUCGGCUGUAAAAUCAUCUAUGUAAUAUUCUCAUCAUUGUAAUAGCAUAAUUAAUCAGACGUUAAAAAAAAACAUUAAACAGUAAACCCAUAUUAAUAGUAACGAUUUUAACAACAACGAUUUGUUCUCAAUUUUAAUAUAAUAGAUUUUGAAACUUAGUAAACCAAACAACUUGGUGAUAUAUGUGAAAUAACUUUAUCAAAGUUUUGUAAUAUUUAUAAGAUAAAAAGCCACAAAUUUAUGGCUCACAUAAUGAUAUAAAAUUGAUAUAAUAUAGUAAUACAAAAUUUUGCCCUUUCAUAUUUUACACAUCUAAUAAAACAUAUCAUUUACUUCUUUUAGUUCAAAUUUAAAAUACAUAUAAUAAUCAAUAAACUAUAAUAUAUUAUAAAAUUUACUAAAGAUAAAUCCCGUGCUUUUAAAGCGCUGGUCAAAACCACAAUCGAACAUUGUUAUCCGAACAAAACUGAAAACAAAAUAACCAAACCAAAACCAAAACCAAAACCAAAACAAAAAAACAAAUUCAUAAAUAAAUGAACGGUUCAUAUAUCUCUUGAACCAAAAACUAAAACCCAUUAUCGAACCGAGACCAAAUCGAAAACAAGAAAAAAAGAAAAUUUGGAACUGAACCGAAAACCAAACAGCUAGAUCUAAACAUAUUAGUGAACAUACAUACGGGUUAUUAAAUUUGUUAACAAAAAGUAAUCCCGCGCUUUCAAAGCGCGGGUCAAAAUCUAGUACUUUCUUAUAAUUUUAACAUAUUUGGUUAAUUUUCAUUAUAAACAUUAAAGUUAUAUAAAAUACUAAAAAUAAAAAAUAAAUUUAUAUUUUUUUUCCUUAGCUUGUUCUAAGCGUAAAUUUAAUUUUAAUUACAUCUCAUAUUUAAAUCAUUUAUUUAUAUCCUUUAAUUAUGGUAAUAAUUAUAUACUUAAUAUUUUAAUUAUUCUAAUAAAUAUAUACUUAAUAUUUAUAUUUGAAUUUUUUUAACUCAAUUUUUUAUAAUAAAAAUAGUAAGCCAUGUCAUAAUUAGAUAGGAUCCAUGUCAUCAUCUAAGUGAGCCAUGUUAUCAUUUUUUGCAAGAUUGAUUGUGGUGAUUACAUGUAAUCAAAUCACUUGGUAAAUAAUGUCUAAGGGAUGAGAUCACUUGCCCAUAAUUAAAUUUUAUUUUUAGUUAAAUAUCCUUGAUAAUUCUAAAUUUAUAGCCAUUAAUUUCUUCUUCUUUUUUUACGAUAUUAUGUUUCUAAGUGUUCAGUAAUUCUACUUUUCUCAAUUUAUAUUCUGUUUGCUCAAAAGUUUCCUAGUUUAAUUCUUUUUUGAAACAACCAGUUAUCGAUUUUCUUUUGCUCAAAAAAACAAACAAUUAUAGAUUUUAUCGAUUAUCAAAUAAUAUGAUGUAAUACUCCUCAACCAAAAAAUUAAUCCCAUCUACUCCUCAUCUAUAAUUUAUUUAUUUUUAGUUUGAAAUUCGAUUAAAAUCCAAUUAACCCUUAAUGAAUCCACUUAUUUACGAACUAUACCACUAAGACCUAAUUCUUUCUCCUUAUCUCUAUAGAUCUUAAUUUUUCUUUCACUCAUUCUUCAUUUUCUUCAAUUUUGUUUCUCUCUUCUCAUUUUCAUCGUUCUUCUUGUUCUCUUUCUUAUUAUCCUUCUCAAUCUCUUCUUUUGUUGAAAAAUUUCAGUAAGCCUUUUCUUUAAACUUAAUUAACAUUUCACUUUAAAAAAUCUCUAUUGUUCUUCUCUCUAUUCUUUAUUUUCUCUCAAAACUCUUUGAUCUUUCGUCUUUUCUUCGCGAUUUAAGAUUCAUAAAUCCUUUUUUUCUUUUUCUUCAAUUUUUUCUCAUUUUUGGUUAUAUGUUGAGUUUUUCUUUCUCUUAUUUGAUUUUCUCUCUUUCGCAUUACAGAUCUGUCAUGUUACACGAAAAUAUGAAAAUGAAAAAAAUUAAAACUACAACCAACAAACAAAGUUUUACUAAGUUGUACAAUCGUUCAUAUACAAAUCUGUAAAAUAAAUAACUUGGUUAGACUAGGUACAAAAUUUUACCAAGUUGUAUCAGUUUUACUAAGUUGUACCUCGAUAAUAAUACAACUUGGUAAACUUUAUACCGAGUUUAACCAAGUUCUUGGAAAACUGUAGAACUUGGUAAUUGUAGAACUUUGUAUUUUUUUUUUUUUUUUUUGUCAUCGACUUUUACAGACUCAUAUUGACUCUGUAAACCAAACUGGGUGAUCUUCAUCCAUAUGAACAACAUACGACAGCUGCAUCCUAGCUUGACGGGCUAGGCUAUCCGCCAUAGUGUUUAGCGUUCGUGGGACAUGGAUGAUGUCUGAUCUUGUGAAGCUCGCCUUCAGGAUCUUGUAAUCGUCCAAAUAAUCUGCAAAAGCUGGCCAUUCUUCUGGUUCCGAAACUAUCUUCACCAAUUGAGAACAAUCUGUUGCAAAUGUGACCUGAAAUUGACGUAAGUUCCUCAUACAUUCCAUUGCCCAGAGUAGCGCUUCCAUCUCCGCAUGAAGAGGAGAAAGACUAGAUCGAACAUUCCUCGCCCCCAAUAAACCAUUAAAACCCACUAGUGUACUAAGCCAUCCUUGCCCUGAAAAGAUAUCAUUAUCUUUCCAAGAACCAUCUAUAAAACACCAUCUACCCGGAAUUCUCGGCAAAGACGUAACCAUAGGGCGUGGUUCCGUUCUCUGCUCGUUUAAAACCUGGGCCUCCGCCCAUAGUUUAGAUUCUGUUUCGGCCAACUUGAGUGUAUCCAUUGGGUCAAUAUCCAAAUUACUAAACACUUUAUUAUUACGUCCUUUCCAUAUGUACCAUAAAAUCCAGGCAAACUGAUGAUCCUCCAUCUGUGGUAGAACUCUCCAAAAGAGAUGAUGUAUAUUUGUGAAAAGCGACUUUGUUGGAAAAACAUCUGGGUUCGACGGUAUCUUCGAAAGAGCCCAAACCUGAAGCACUGGAGGACAUUCGAAAAAAACAUGAUUUAUCGAUUCCUCAUCGGCUCCACACCUGGCACAACAGAUAUCUCCUUUAAUCCCUCUCCCUUGUAAAUUUUUCCUAACUGCUAUACUUCCUGAUAAGAGUUGCCAGAGAAAAUGUUUUAACUUUGGUGGACAUUUUAUUUUCCAGCAAUAAGCCUUUAAGUCAUUGACCGUAGGCCCAAUCAUAGAGGGUGGUCGUGCCCUAUCUGGGUAAAUCCUCUCCACCUGAUAUCCUGAUUUAACUGUAUAUUUGCCAUUUUUGGUAAAAUGCCAUCCAUCCCGAUCUAUCCUCUGAGUUCUACUCAGUGGUAGACUUUCUAUAAUUUUUGCAUCUUGUGGUUCCACCAAAGCCCGAAUUGCCUGAGAAUUCCAAGUACGCGAAGUGGAAUUAAUGAGUGAGUCCACUGUAAGGUCCGGAUAUAAAUUAUGUUGAUUUUUAUUAGCUCGUCUCGGGCGAGUGGUUGGGAGCCAUGGAUCAUUACAUACAGAUAUAGAAGAGCCUGUUCCCACCCUUUUGAUUAGUCCUUUGCUUACCAGAGAUCUAGCAGAGACAAUACUCCGCCAUCCAUAGGAUGGAGAAUAUGAGCGAAUCGGUUCCAGGGGUGAAGCAUUCCUGUAGUACCGACCUUUAAAAACUCUGGCAAAUAACGAGUUUGGUUUCUCUAUGAGACGCCAAAGCUGUUUGCCAAGCAUCGCUGUAUUAAAAUCAGUGAUGUCUUUGAACCCCAAACCCCCUUCUUCCUUAUCAAGACAUACUUUGUCCCACGAUUUCCAAUGCAAACCCCUAGUACUUCCCCCUGGACUCCACCAGAAUUGUGCUACCGCACUCGUCAACUUCUUUGCAGUUGCCUUAGGUAGUCGAUAACAUGACAUCACAUGAUUAGGUAGAGCUGUGACCACUGACUUAAUAAUCACCUCUUUUCCUCCUUUUGUGAAAAACCGAAAAGCCCAUCCGGUAACUCUACAAUUUAACCUCUCCUGCACAAAGCUAAAAACUUGUAUCUUAGAUCCCCCCAAAUUUUCAGGCAGCCCCAAAUAAGAACCCAUUCCGCCUAAGUUUUGAAUCCCCAGAAUAUCCCGUAAUUCCUGUCUGGUCCCUUCCUCAAUCUCAUGUCCAAAUUGAAUCGAUGACUUAUCGAAAUUUAUAAGCUGACCAGAUACCUGUUCAUAUUCCGUUAAUAUCCUAAGAAUGGUUCGACAUUCUUCUUUUUGAGCCUUACAAAAGAAAAGACUGUCAUCCGCAAAAAGCAAAUGAGAUAUUGAUGGACAUGCUCUUGCCACCUUCAUUCCCGUUAGCCGUUUCUCUGCCUCUGCCUUUCGUAUAUUUGCGAUCAAAGCCUCUGUGCAAAGAAUAAAUAAGUAGGGAGACAGAGGAUCCCCCUGACGUAAUCCUCUAUGUGGAACAAUGAGACCGCGCGGUUGUCCAUUUAGUAGAACCCGAUAUUGAACUGAAGUUAUACAUUCCAUCAUUAACUUGAUCCAGUGAGAAUCAAAACCCAUCUUUCGAAGUAAAGCUUUAAUAAAAUCCCAUUCCACUCUAUCAUAUGCUUUACUCAUAUCCGUUUUUAUUGCCAUAUACUUUCCUUUGCAUGCUUUAUUGGUUCGCAGCCCAUGAAACAUUUCCUGCGCUAUAAGAAUAUUAUCCGAAAUCAACCUUCCAGCUACAAACGCCGAUUGAGUUUCUGAGAUGAGCUUGGGAAGAUAUAAUUUCAAUCUCUGACAUAAAACCUUUGAAAUAAUCUUGUAUCCCACAUUACAAAGACUUAUUGGUCUCAAUUCCGUCAUCCUUGUAGGUCUCUCCGUUUUUGGAAUCAUACAAAUAUUAGUAAUAUUUAAUCUAGCAUCCAUUUCUCCGGAAACCAAAAAUUCGUUCACCAGCUCCACCAAAUCUGCCUUAAUAAUGUGCCAGGAGUGUUGGAAGAAUAAUACUGUCAUACCGUCCGGUCCAGGUGCCUUUUCUGGGUGCAUCAUAAAAAGAGCCUCCUUAACCUCCUCCUCCGUAGCUAAUCUCAACAAACGUUGAUUUAUUUGAGGGGUGAUAGUCGAAGGAAUUUCCAUCAGAAAAUCAUCAAACUCUGUAGGUGAAGAAGAGGUAAAUAAAUCCUCAAAAUAACUAACAGCCACCCUUUCUACCCCAUUUUCCUCGGUAAUCCAAUUCCCAUCUGCAUCAUGUAACCCAACAAUCCUGUUUCGUAUCCGUCGCUGUUUAGUUAAAGCAUGAUAGAAUUUUGUGUUGAGAUCUCCAGAUGAGUGCCACAUAUUCCUACUUUUUUGGUGCCAAUACUCUUCUUCAUCCCUAUAAGCCUCUUGUAAUUUCCUAGACACUUCCAUUAUAUCUUCUUGAGUCCUUGUGUUAUCUGUCUGUACCUCCUCCAGAACUUGAUGUAAUUCAUUUAUUUUUUCUUUUCCAUAAGGUGGAUUGUUUUGUAGAACUUUGUAAACUUGUAGAAUUUUGGUAAAACUAUAGAACUUGGGAAAACUAUAGAAUUUGGGUAAAACUAUAGAACUUGCAAAAACAUGUACAUCGAUUAUUAAGAUCUAAAAAUUUAAAAGUCAAAAUUUGAUUUGAAAAACUAAUAAUUUUAAAUUGAAAUUCUAUUGGUUCAUUAAUAGUACGAGAAUAUGUAGAUUUAGUAAGAGUAGAAAAGAUUAAAUUUCUUCCAUUGAUUUUAUCUUCGACGUACACUACUAUUCUAAUCAUUCAUACCUAUUUUUUAAGAAAACAGAUUUUAUACUCAUGUUUUCUUACUACAAUUUUUUUUUUGUUUUUACGUCCAAAUCAAAACUUAUGGUUCUACAAUAUUUUUAUAGGAUAAAAUUUUAUUUUUCAGAAUUUGAAAAAAUAAUUUUUAUUAUAUGCCAAACUUUUAAUAUCUAUGAAAUAUUUGCAGACAAAAAUUUUAAAUAAAUUUAUAUAAUAUACUGGUUUUAAUAUUAAAUUUUAAUAUAGUUAAUGUUUAAUGUAUUUGCUCCCGAUAAAAGUAGUUUUGAGCCUGGGGUUCAAAUCCCAGACUAUGCAAUUUCUUCAGAUUGCACAAGAAAUCCAGGUUUCAAUUCCCGGAGCAAGCGAUUUAUUCAACAAUUAUGCGAUUACAGAAGAAAGGCUUACAAGAGUUUCUCAACAUGGUGCAAGUAAAUCCGGUCAGGCGUGAUCUUCAUAGGACGGCUCAAAUGAGGCAGUUAGGCGUAGAUCCUCAUAAGGCAGGUAGUAUUGUCGGUAAUCGAAUCGUCUUUGUAAUCUUUCUCAUAAUUGUAAUAUCUAAAUAAAUCCCCAACAAAAAAAAAAAAAGUAGUUUUGAGCCCAAUCCCUGAUCGGUAGGUUAGAUUUAGAUAAAAUAUCUAUAAUUUGAUGUAUGAUGACAAUUUAAAUAAACAGAAAAAGACAAUGCGCCUAGACUUCUCCACAAGAAAAAAAGUUUAUAGUCAACAUACUGGAUGCAUAAUUUUUUUUAUGUUUAGAUCAAAUAUCUAUAAUAAUGAUGUAUGACAACAACAAGGGUUCAGAUCAAAUAUCUAUAAUAGUGUGUAUGAUGACAAAAAUAAAUAAACUAAAAAACAAUGCGCCUAGAUUCCUUCUCGAGAAGAAAAGAUUAUAAUCUAGCGCUCCAACCGUAUACGGUUAAUGAGUUAUUCACGUACGUUCAUUUGGUUCGUGAAUCCAAUUUCAUGCGACAGACAAUACGUUAAUUUUUUUAGAAAUUUCGAAAGUUAUGUUUAGUGAUCUUGCAAUUACCACAUGACCUUUCCAUGUACUUUGACCUCAUUCGCACAAUAUCGCGAAUCAUUUCCUAAUAAGUUAUUCAUAUUUUUACUAUUCUAGUCUAAACACACUUAAUUAUAAAGUUUUAAAUGGAUGUGCGCCGGAAAAGGUAAUCACAUUUUGAUGACAUAGAUAGUCAAAUCAAUUUCCUUACACUAUUUCACAUAUAUCAGAAAUUAGAAUUUUACAAUUUACCCCCACUCACAGAGCGCGACAGCUACAUUACACACGACGACAUGUCUAUAGUCGCAUCUCGGUCCAAAACCGAUAUGGCUAACCUGGCUCUGAACCACUUGUAACUCUCCGAUCUCCACCGCUAAUGAGCCACCUACACCCAUUCACUCGGUCUGUUAGCCCCGUCACGUGCCAGGGACGGUGCUUUAAUUUUUUGGAUGCUCGAAAAUCAUGUAUAAUGUCAUUUCAGUCACCACAUGAUAUUUUUUCGUGCUUUGGUCUCACCCGAAAUCGCAAGUCACUUUUCAAUAGAUCGUCUAUAUUUUUACUACCCCAGUCCAAACUGACUUAACUCUAAAACUUUAAAUGUAUGUGUCGAAAAACUGCACUUUGAUAACAUAAAUAAUCUAUACUAUUAUUUUAGAAGUGAAUUUGCUUAUUUGUCACAUUUUCCAUGAUUUUAGGGCUGACUCAUUAGUUUUAAUAAAUAAUUUUAAUUAAACUAUAAUUAAAAUAUAAGUCAUUAUUUAUCUGAUUACAAAUUAUUAUAAAAUUAUCUCAAAACAAUAAAUGGAAAACAUUUUUGAAAAAGAAAAUAUAAUUCCAUGUAUUUAUUUGAUGUUUAUUUACAUUCUUUUUUCUUAUUCACUAAUUUUUAUAAUUAGUAGUAUAUAUAUACAUAUAAUAAUUAGAUUUAUCAUUAUACUAAAAUAUUAAAAAUAGGUUUAAAAAAAUUUCAAAAAUUGAUUUAUAUUUUUUUUAAGCGUAAUAUGUCAUGGAAUAUUUUUUCUAAAUUAUUAAAUUAAUUUUAAUAUUAAAAAACUAAAAAGAGGUAUAUAUCUGUUUGCUAUUCGUGAUAUUUAUAAAUAUUUUUUAUUGGGAAUGGAAUUAUCUUUUUAAAAUAUUUGUCUCUAAAAGAGAAUAUUUUCUAAAUAUUAAUUUAAAAUUAACUCUAUUACUUUUGUGUGUUUUCAAGAAUUUCCGAGAAUUGUAACUUUGUUUAAAUAACAAUUUAUUUAAAAGACUAUUAUAUAAAGAAAAAUGUGAUUCUAUUUUUAUAAGAAACUGUAUUUUCCAAAGUAUUUAUUUUAGUUAUAAAUAUUAAAGUUUGAAAGUUAAAAGAUCAUUUUGAAAAUAAAAAAAUAUGUUUUUAUACUAAAAAUACUAUUUAAUAUCUAUAUUUAGAAGAAAAUAGCAUGUCUCUAUUUUAAAUGAAAAAUAGACAUUGACUAUACCAUAUUUUUCAUUCUAUUAUAGCAUUUAGAAUUGAAUAUAAGAAUAAAUAACAAAGGUUCUUAUCUUAUAUAUUAUAUAUUAAUGUUUUAUUUGUUAACAUGUUUGAGUGAGUAUAUAGUUAUUAUGUGAGGUAUUUCACAAUAUAAUUAUACAAUUCAAUCAUUUUCUUUACUUUGAAUGAUAUAAUAUGUAAACUUGGGUUAAGUUGAACAUUUUUUUUGCUUUUGAUUUAUUUUGCGAUUUUGUAGAUUUUAGUAAUUUCAAUAAUUUGGUUUAAUAACAUCACUUUGUAUUAGCAGUUUUAUAUAUUUUCUUUAAUUAUAUAAUUGAUUAUCAAUUAAUAUAAUAUUUUUUUUAAAGAUAAUAACCUAUUUUAAGAUAUAAGAUAUUAACAUUGUUAUCGAAAAAUAAUGUUAUAAAUUAAUAAAAGUUAAAAAUUAAGAAAUUAAAAGAUUCAUAAAAAUAUUAUAAAUUUAAUGAUUGACUUCAAAAUUUUGAUCAUUAAAUUUAAUAGUACAUCUAUACUAUUAUUUGCGAAGUAAAUUUUUGGAAUCGAGCUCUCACGUUAAAAGUUAGAGUGGUUAAUAUCGAUUAUACCCUUAAUAAAUUAAAUAUAUAAAUUAAUAAAAAAAAUAAAAACGAAUUUGCUUUUUUUUUUCUAAUAAUAUAAGUGAUUAAAACUAAUAAUGAUAAGAAUUAUCCAAAAUCUAAAAAUAUAUCUUAUUAUAAAAAGAUAAUUCUUAUAUAUAUUAUAACAAGAUAAUUCUAAUUAUAUUGUGUUGUUAUCUUAUAUAUUGUAUUGUUAUCUUGAAAUAAUAUAUUUUUUUACUAUAAAAAUUGAAAUUUAAGAUAUGAAAUUAUUUAUAAUUAAAGAAAUUAUAUUAUACCCUUAAUAAAUUAAAUAUAUAAAUUAAUAAAAAAAAUAAAAACGAAUUUGCUUUUUUUUCUAAUAAUAUAAGUGAUUAAAACUAAUAAUGAUAAGAAUUAUCCAAAAUCUAAAAAUAUAUCUUAUUAUAAAAAGAUAAUUCUUAUAUAUAUUAUAACAAGAUAAUUCUAAUUAUAUUGUGUUGUUAUCUUAUAUAUUGUAUUGUUAUCUUGAAAUAAUAUAUUUUUUUACUAUAAAAAUUGAAAUUUAAGAUAUGAAAUUAUUUAUAAUUAAAGAAAUUAUUUAUAAUUAAAUAUUAAUCAAAAAACAUUUGUAUAAAUAAAAAAAUUCAUCAUAUAUAAAUAAGUUGAUGUUUGAUUUCUAUGUUUGAUGUUUAAUAAAAUAUAAACUAAUAAAUGUUCACAAAAGAAUCGGCCCGCAUGUGCGGGCAAAAUACUUAGUUUAUUAAUAAAUAUCUAUAAAAAAAAUAUGUCCCGCAUGUGUGGGGAAAACACCUAGUCAAUCAAUUAUUUUUUCUACGUAUAUUAAAAAUCAAGGAUGUUACGGAUGCAUUAUAUUUAGGGUUAGAUCAACUAUUUAUAAUAUAAUAAUGAUGAUGUAUGACGACAAAAAUAAACAAACUAAAAAACAAUGCGCCAAGACUUCUCGUCGAGAAGAAAAGUUUAUAGUCAACAUACCGGAUGCAGAGUUUUUUUCUGUAGACUAUAUUAAAACCCCAGGCCAUGCUUAUCUUCUCGGCACGAAAACAAUAAUACAUUUUCUGGGGACAAAUUAAAAAAAAAUAAGAAACAAGAAAUGGCGCAGUCUUCGACUCCUACGCUUCCCAGAGUGAUUGUGGAUCCAAGGUACUGUGUUCCGGACCCCGUGUAUCUGGCGAUGGUGCGGGAUAAUAUUAAUUUCAAGUACGGUAACUACGACAUAAGGGACGUUAACGGGAACAUGCUGUUCCAGGUAAAGAAGCCGGGCUUUGGUUAUUUUAGCGGUAGGAAGAUGUUCUUAUUGGAUGGUUCUGGAUCUCCGGUCUUGACUAUGAAAGAGAAGGUUCAUAGACUCACAUACACAACUUAAAAGUUUGUAUGUUUUAUGUGUAGUCGGGCUUAACCAAAUUAAAUGUAUUGCAGACGAUGACCAUGCAUGGAAGGUGGAAGGUGUAUAGAGGAGGGAGUACGGAAGAGUGUGAUUUGCUGUACUCGGUGAAGAGCUCGACGAUGCAAGUGCUGCUUACGACGGAACUUAAGGUGUUUUUGGGUCACAACCAUGAAGAGCAGAUAUGCGAUUUCAUAGUCAGAUUGAUGAAGGACGAACGCUCUUGUGCCGUCUACGCCGGUGAAUCUGAUGACGACGACAACAUGAUUACCUACGUAAACUCACUCUCUUUCCUUUUUUCUCUUUCCACAUUGAUCAUUCGGGUGGACCCACCUAUAUCUGAUUAAUCAACUAUUUUUGAGAAAUUCUUUUGAAUAGUCAUUUAUAGUUUAUUUUCGUAAAUAAUAGUCUCUCAAUGAGGAAAAUGACCAAAAUAUAUUUUAUUCAAGGGUAAAAUAUAUAUUUAUACCCUUUAGAUUAAUUAAUAUUGAAUUAGAAUUUAGAGUUAAUGGAUGGGCUUUGGGGUUGAGUUUCAAAUUUCAAAAAACUAAAAAAUAAAAAUAAAAAAAUUCAAAAUAAAGAAAAGCUAUUUCGGUCUUUUUUUUUUUUUGAACAAACGCUAUUUUUAUGAGAAAAAUUUAAAAAUUGUUAUCUGAGAGAAUUGUUCAUUAUUUUACAACUAUAGGAAGAUUCUUCCUCACAUGUCUACGAGUUAAUAUUACUUUUAUAUCCGGUUUUGGUUCAGAACUGGUUUAGCAAAUCAAAUCUUUUUUUUUUGGCUCUGUUCAGUUUAUCCAGAAUAAAACAUAUGCUUAGCCUUAUAUGUGAUGGUAGGUUGACCAUGUGUUUGUGAAUUGUAGAACAAUCAACUUCACAAUUGCAACAUUUAUUAAACCAAAAUUAAUUGCCCAAGAAAAUACUCCAAUAGGAGUACUCGGUUGGUUGGUGACUAAAUCAAAUGGUGUGUAUAUAUGUAACAGAUGAAGCACAAGAAGCGAUCAUCGGGACUGGACAAUUUCUUGGUGACUGUUAAUCCAAACGUCGAUUAUGCCUUCAUUGCCUCUCUCGUAGUCCUUUUCGAUGUUUUUAAUCGAAUGGAUCCGCCGACGCUGAUGAGUUGAACGAGGCUGGACACGCUGCAGACAAGAUUGCACACCUUUUACAUCAAGCACUUCACUGAUGGAUUUUAAAAGAGAUUAAAUCCAACCAAAUCUAUUGUUAUUCAGUUAAUGAAUCUAAAUAUGUUUUAUAGUUCAGUGCUAUUGGAUCUUAUAUUUUAUCUGGUAGUGUAAAAUUCUGGCCCUACCGGCAAUUGCUGCUUAGCACAUGUGUGUGUGGAUAUGCUUUUUGUUUUGUAUUGUUGUACGUUCUUUAGACUGUUGUUGACACGGUGCACUUUGUAACGUGGCAUGGUUCCUACCAAAACUUGGUGUGAUCUUUCUAUUUGUAAAAAAUAAUGAUUUUCAGCUAUUGGAUAUACUUUCGUUGCGUAAUGUUUUCUUUUAGUAUUUUUUUGUUCUUUUGCCAUAUAUGAGUAUUAUGACCUCCUAAUUUUACCAAUUAAUGUAUAUACUAGGUUAAGACCCGUCUCUUGGGCAGGAAGAUAUAUAUAAAUUAUUUUUAAGUAUUAUAUAUUUUUUCAUAUUAUGAAAUAAUAAAUAUAUAUUGAAUAAUAAAAAAUUUAGUAACUAUUACGUAUGUAACUAAAUUGGUACAAAUACUUAAAUAAAUUUUAUUAAUCGAGACAAACACUUUUUCUAUUUUAUAUGUUAUAAAGUUAAGUUUACAUGAUAUUAACAUAGAUAUAAAGUACAUUUUUAAUAUUGACAUCUGCUAAAAAAUAUUUUACACUAAUAUUAUUUUUGAUCGUUUGUAUUUCUUUAUAACAAAAUUUUUAAAUAAAUGAUAACAAUAAAAAAAUUGUGGGAUGUUUAAUAGUUUUAGUAAUUUAUAAUUUUAAAAACAUUCAAUGCAAAGUUUAAAAUCUAAAUAUUAAGUUGUCAAUAAUUGUUCAAAAUGUUUAUCAAAAAACUUCAAAGCAAAUUCGAAAUUAAAAUACUUAUGUAUUUUAUAUGGUAUAUAAUUUAUUUUAAAAAAUAUUAAUAUACAUAUAUAUAUAUAUAUAAUAUUUAUUAAAUGAGACUUCAUACUUCUGUAAUUUAAUAAUCAUUUGUAUCUUGUUAUAAUAUAAAUUUUAAAUCAUGGAUCACAAAAAUUUGAAUGUGAGAUUUUUAACAACUUUAGUCAUUUAUAUUUGUUUUUAAAAAUUUAAAAUAUAGCAUAUACGAAAAAAUCUAAAUUUUUAUUAUAUAGUUAACAUGGUUGUUUAAUUUAUUUUUAUUAGUUAAAUUUUUUAAAAUGAUAGAGAAUAGAGUAACUUUUAUCAAAUUUUUAUUAUUUAAAAUCAUUAAUUGUCAUAUAUACUUUAGUCACAUUAGGUAAUUCUGUGAUUUUUAUUUAAGGAAACAAUGAAGAACAUUUAUGAUUAGUUUAUGGUUAGUUUAAUAAAAAAAAUUAUUAUAUAUUUAUAUGGACCAACAUAUUUUUCUAAGGAUUCUAAAAAUGAUUGUGGUGAUGACAUGUGAUUACAAAAAUAUGUUGUAAUGAUUCUCUUUUAAUAUAUAGGGGAUAUCAUUAGCUAGUCGUUAUUCACUUGCUUUCAUAAAUUAAUCCAAUUAUGUUCCUUUUUUUUUUUCUGAUACAACGUAUUUCACUAGUGUACCAACUUAAACUAAACGCCUCAAACUACGUACCGACUGUUAUUGACAAUGUUACUAUUCCAGUAAAUAUUAUUCCAGGUUCCCAAGAUAUUUGGAAUUGGAUUUGAUACAUUUGAAAUUUAUUAAUGAGACAUAAACCAAAAUCAAAAACGAUAAAAGGAAAAAAGGAAAAAAAAACCCAAAUUAAACUAUUUUCAAUAAAGCAACAAAAAAUUAUGAUAUUGUUGGAUACGUGGAAUGAAGCAUUCAGUGGAGUUACUCGCAGAUACCCCUCAUUACAACUGGGCAUACCAAAGAACAAAUGGUAUAGUUAUCUUUCUGAGUAUAUAUGAACUUUUAGGUCUCCUUUUCUCCACUAAAUUAAGAUUUAUAUUCAUUCAAUCCAGGGCGUCUAAUAACAUGUGUUAGUGGAGCGGUCGAAAAAGAGCCCGAGUCAGAAAGUAAAAAAAUAUUAAGAAAAUUUUCAAAAUAAAUAUAUAAAUGUUGUUUAAAAUUUCAAAAUUUUAAUGUAUUUUUAAAUUUAUAGUUUAUAAUUAGAAGAUAAACCUCAAAUAUAUAUAGAUAAAACUAUUAACUUUUAAAAUGAUUUCAUUACAUUGUUAAAUAUAUAAUUAAUAUUUUUUUUGGUCUUGAUAUAAUUUGAGACGGCCCUGAUUCAAUCUUUCUUCUUCUAUGUGGUUGAUUUCAUGUAGCUAGAAGAAAGAUUGAAUGAUUUAGUCAUGUGGUGGUCAUCAAUAAUUCUGUAUUUCUUUUUGUCUUAUGGCUUUGAACAUGCAUGAUUAGUCAUUGCAGUUUGUCUACCUUUUGAGUUUGCAAGAUUCUGUUCUUUGGUCCGAAGACAUCUACUAGUUUUUUGACAAUUUUUUAUUUUUAGCUUCAACUCUAGUAAUGUGUUAGAGUUUAUCAUUAAGGCAUAACAUUCAUAAGAUCGAUCAGAGAUUUUGGAUACAAAUCAAUCUAAACCUAAUCGACACACUAGUUUAAUUGGUGGUUAGAUCCCCUGAAAUGUAUAACAUUUAGUAUUACCUUAUUUAAGAGUCGCAAUUAUUUUACUUUUUAAUAGUCAGGAUCAUGCGGCGCUCGAGCUCAUAGAGCAGUUCCACGACUGCAGAGUCGAAAGAACUCUUCUUGUCAGGCCUUGCUUCUCCGGUAUACAUCACAGCCUCACGAUUAGGUAUCUACUAGUUUAUAGUGAUGUGUUGUUGAGUCAUUAGUGAAGAUACUUUUGAUGUGCGUUUGGUGACAAUUUGUUGUUCUUGACCACCAACAUUAGUGAUGGUCCCUGAUAUUUAGAGAAUGUUAACUUUAGGAGGUUAUAUGUAUCAUCAUCAAUGUUCUGAUUCAUCUGAUUAGUUUUGUUAUAGAUUCCAGAGAAAGGGAAACAUAGUAAUACAUGUGGAUUCCUUGUUCUGUUAUGUUCGAUACUAUAACAAUUUUCACUGUCUUUUCUCAGUUUGGACCGGGCAGUUUCUUAGCCAUGGACUGUUCAAGGUAAGUCUUUUUUUUUUUUUGCUAACAUUUGGAUGUUCGAGGUAAGUCCUUGUUGAAAUAAAGAAGUAAUAAAGAGAAAGAUGAAAAGGAAACGUUGGCAAGACUUCACAAGACUUUGAAAGAUUUCACAAGACUUCAACUAACUUCAAGUGAUGAUCAAGUGUGAAGUCCUAACUUAGCUUGGAAGGCAUGGAAGAGAAAGGAGCUCGACCAACUUACCUUCAGUAAGGCCAGAUAGAGAUUUUGGGGUCCAGAUACAACAAAGUCUAUGUGUACCUAAGAAGCAUGUGACCAUGUGACCUCAUGAGCAAUCUCAGCCAUCCAAUUCAAAUGAAACCUUAUCUAAGCCAUUGAAUCAGCUAAAUGAAGAGUGAACCAGACCAAACAAGGUGUCACAUGGAGUAUCAAGAUCUGCUUCACUCUCAGCCACAUAUUUUGAAAAUAGAGAUGUUGGGAGGUGAUGAGAGUGCACUUUUUUAUCCAAUGUGUUCUUUAAUCUCUCUCUCUCUCUCUCUCUCUCUCUCUCUCUCUCUCUCUCUCUCUCUCUCUCUCUCUCUCUCUCUCUCUCUCUCUCUCUCUCUCUCUCUCUCUCUCUCUCUCUCUCUCUCUCUCUCUCUCUCUCUCUCUCUCUCUCUCUCUCUCUCUCUCUCUCUCUCUCUCUCUCUCUCUCUCUCUCUCUCUCUCUCUCUCUCUCUCUCUCUCUCUCUCUCUCUCUCUCUCUCUCUCUCUCUCUCUCUCUCUCUCACACAACACCGAAAUACGAAUGGAAAACACAUUUACCUAGAGGCACAUAAUGGAUAGUAAAAGAACAACCCCCUGAGCUAACCUAACUAAGUAAUUAUUUAUUUAUAUAACUGAGACAAAAAUCUGAAUGAGACGAUUGCUCCUAACACAUUCAUUCCAUGAUUCAGAAACACACAACACAACAAAGAUACAGCUAACAUAUAUAUUAUAUAAAUAGAAGAGUGGUUUAUGACCGUUAUCAAAGAAACAAAAUAUAUGUGCAUAAUUUGUUUAUGAUUUACCAGUUAGUUGUCUACUUGGUAACAGCUUCUUCGAGCUCUCUUAAGCCACCGACUUUCUGUU